UACGUAGGGGGCAAGCGUUGUCCGGAUUUAUUGGGCGUAAAGAGCGUGUAGGCGGCCGUACAGGUCAGCUGUGAAAACUCGAGGCUCAACCUCGAGACGUCGGUUGAAACCGUACGGCUAGAGUCCGGAAGAGGAGAGUGGAAUUCCCGGUGUAGCGGUGAAAUGCGCAGAUAUCGGGAAGAACACCCGUGGCGAAGGCGGCUCUCUGGGACGGUACUGACGCUGAGGCGCGAAAGCUAGGGGAGCAAACAGG
rnacentral:rRNA from 1 species